rnacentral:rRNA from 1 species
UAGUCAUAUGCUUGUCUCAAAGACUAAGCCAUGCAUGUCUAAGUAUAAAUGCUAUACAAUGAAACUGCGAAUGGCUCAUUAAAACAGUUAUAGUUUAUUUGGUAAUCGAAUUUACAUGGAUAACCGUGGUAAUUCUAGAGCUAAUACAUGCUGAUAAGCCCGACUUCUCGGAAGGGCCGUAUUUAUUAGAUAACAGACCAAUAUUCCCUGGUGUCUAUUGUGGUGACUCAUAGUAACUGAUCGGGUCGCACGGGCGUGCCCGCGACAAACCAUUCAAGUUUCUGCCCCAUCAGCUUUCGAUGGUAGUGUAUUGGACUACCAUGGCUUUUACGGGUAACGGAGGAUUAGGGUUCGAUUCCGGAGAGGGAGCCUGAGAAACGGCUACCACAUCUAAGGAAGGCAGCAGGCGCGUAAAUUACCCAAUCCUGACACAGGGAGGUAGUGACAAGAAAUAACAAUACAGGGCAUCCAUGUCUUGUAAUUGGAAUGAGUAAAAUUUAAAUCUCUCUACGAGUAUCAAUU